UACGGGGGGUGCGAGCGUUGUCCGGAAUCACUGGGCGUAAAGGGCGCGUAGGCGGUUUGAUAAGGGUGUGGUGAAAGUCCGGGGCUCAACCCCGGAUCUGCCGUGCCGACUGUCAAACUCGAGGACUGUAGAGGCAGACGGAAUUCCGGGUGUAGCGGUGGAAUGCGUAGAGAUCCGGAGGAAGACCGGUGGCGAAGGCGGUCUGCUGGGCAGUUUCUGACACUGAGGCGCGAAAGCGUGGGGAGCAAACAGG
rnacentral:rRNA from 1 species